GUGUUACCAUGAGUUCCCUUCAAACACUUCACAUGCUGAGACACCAUUCAGAUUACUCCUUAAGAGUUUCAUGUGCAAUGUGAAGUGUUUGGGGGAACUCUUGGUGAUAC
rfam:Setaria italica strain Yugu1 chromosome III, whole genome shotgun sequence.